rnacentral:snRNA from 1 species
AUACUUACCUAGCAGGGGAGUCAUUUCCCAUGAUCAUGUAGGUAGGGUUCCCAGGAUGAGGUAUAUCCAUUGCAUUCUGGCUGCGCUGACCCUUGCGAUUUCCCCAAAUGCAGAAAACUCAACUGCAUAAUUUGUGGUCUUGGGGGGUACUGUGUUCAUGCUCUCCCCUG